AUUGAACGCUGGCUGCAUGCCUAACACAUGCAAGUCGAGCGGAGCGGCGGCAGGGUGAGUAAUGCCUAGGACUCUGCCUGGUAGUGGGGGAUCACGUCCGGAAACGGGCGCUACUACCGCAUACUCUCAGCUGAGACUCGGUCGGAUUUGCUAGUUGGUGGGGUAAAGGCCUACCAAGGCGACGAUCCUGAAAGGGUCUGAGAGGAUGAUCAGUCAAACUGGAACUGAGACACUGGCCAGAAUCCUACGGGAGGCAGCAGUGGGGAAUAUUGGACAAUGGGCGAAAGCCUGAUCGAGCCAUGCCGCGUGUGUGAAGAAGGUUUUCGGAUUGUAAAGCACUUUUAGUUGGGAGGCGUUACCAACACAGUAAGCAACGGCUAACUUCGUGCCAGCAGCCGCGGUAAUAC
rnacentral:rRNA from 1 species